rnacentral:rRNA from 1 species
UACGUAGGGACCAAGCGUUGUUCGGAUUUACUGGGCGUAAAGGGCGCGUAGGCGGCGUGGUAAGUCACUUGUGAAAUCUCUGAGCUUAACUCAGAACGGCCAAGUGAUACUGCUGUGCUAGAGUGCAGAAGGGGCAAUCGGAAUUCUUGGUGUAGCGGUGAAAUGCGUAGAUAUCAAGAGGAACACCUGAGGUGAAGACGGGUUGCUGGGCUGACACUGACGCUGGAGGCGCGAAAGCUAGGGGAGCAAACAGG